CAAGGGUUGGACUUGAUGAUUUCAAAGGUCCCUUCCAACCCAGCUGAUUCUAUGAUUCUAUGAUACAACAAAGCUCUCAGUGCCUUCUCAACUGUCACCAAAAUAGUACCACAAAACACGCUAAGCACAGGAGCACAACAAUCUACUUCUUGGUACUUCUCAGUUCAGGUACCGAUGAUCAGUCUGGUUGCAGCCACAGCCAUCUUAAUUCAGAGUGCCAAAAGCCCCACAGCUUUUCUGAAUAGCGACGCCUAAUUGUGUUCAAAUCAAAGCUGUACUGCAGGAGGCAGAAGUGAUGGAAUGGGACAACUGGGUAAGGUGGCAUGAGCUGAUGGAGAUUUUCUGAUAAAGAAUGUAUAAGACCCUGGGAAUUUUCGUCAGGUUCACAGUCAGACUUCUUGAUUGAAAUGUUUCCUUUGCAAAGAGCUCUUCAUAUUUUCGUAAAUGCUAAAAUAAUAAGCCUUAUGGAGAAAAUGCAGGAACUUCCACUUCUAGGAAACCAUGAAGAAGCCAGCAAGUUGAAGUUCUUGUGGUGAUGGAGAGGAGGGAGGAAGAGUGCUAUUUAGACCAUCUAGAAAAUAGUUUAGCAUUACCACAUGGCAAGAUGUAGGAUUUGGACAGUAUUGAAUCAUACAUUACUUACAUACAUACAUACUAGGAUCAAAUCUGAACACUUAAAGGCAAUUUUGUGUAUAAUUAAAGAAAUAUUCUGUCCUUCCUGUCUCUGAUGCUCUAAAAUCCAUCUUACUAGGCUCCAUCUUACAGCUAUUUCUCUCUAUACAGAAAAGCUUUUCAGACAUGUAAGCAGUUGCACAGUUCUCAAAUAUGCCAGAAGGAAAGUUUUGUAAAAAAAAAAUAAAAAUCCUAAUUCACAAA